rnacentral:lncRNA from 1 species
UUUUGAAAAGCAUCCUUUUAUUUUGAAGGUUUUUUCAUUACCAUACCAAUUUGACGUCAUCGUUUGUGCUGCUGGCAGAAUACUAGUCUGCUGGCCUACCUGUUCACACUCACUUCUGUAUCCCUUGUCCCCCUCUUUCUCUAUAGCCUAUUUGCAUGUGAGGCCAGCAACAAAUUAAUUUCCUCAUGAUUUGAGAAGAGAGAGACACCUGAAUCAUGACAAUGAGUUUCUUUGGAAAAUUAAAGAACCUGUAAGUAGCCUAUCAAAGUUAUGUUCUUCAUUCUUAUCUGCCUUCCUCUGAGCAGAACCAUAAGCCACUGCCAUGAUACAGCAGAGAAGUAACCAACAUUUUUCUUUCCUCUUUUUCAUUACAGACACAGUGGGCCUCCAACUCCACCCAAAAUGAUAGAGAACAAUGCGGGGUAUGGUGGGUGGCCAGAAGAUGAGUUUGAUGAAGAGGAUGGGGACACAUAUGAGGUGCCCCCCUGUGAGAGACCCGCAUUGAAGGUUCCUUCCAGACAUGUGGAGGAGAAUGUCUAUUUGGAGAGGACGUCAGAGCGGUCCAAUCCUGUUCUCCCCAAAAGGCAGGCAGCUGCACCCCCAAGGCCAGCCAUGAUGGCGCCCAUGGGCAAAGCAUUGAAACAGCAGCCUCAACCUGAGGAGUUCUACAUUGACCCCAACACCAAGAAACCGCCUGAGGUAGAUAGGAAGGAGAAGCCAGGGAAGAGGUCUACUCCUAAGAAGUUUGCCUCUCCCCCACCACCUGCAGAGGAAGAUGUCUACCUGGAUCCUAAUGAAGGACAGGAAGACAGUGAUGACCUGUAUCUAGAGCCCACAGCGGCUUGCCCCCCUGCUCCUCGUGGGCCCAUGAGGAUGCCCCUCCCACCCAAGACAGCAGCCGCCCCUCCCCCCAUACCCAUAAAACCUCCAGUGCCCAGAGCCAAGUCUAGUUCUCUAUUGGUGAAUGAGGCAAAGACAGCUCCUCCCCCUGAUAUCAGGCGCUCCAUGUUCCCUGGCAAACUGCCCCCACCCACCCUGGGCAUCAAACCCCCCCUCCCUGCAUCUCUAAAGGAACCCAAACCAAGGUGA